rnacentral:rRNA from 1 species
CUGCAGCUCAAGUGGUGAUCAUUAUUAUUGGGCCUAAAACGUCCGUAGCCUGUUUAGUAAAUGCCUGGGUAAAUCGUGUAGCUUAACUAUACGAAUUCCGGGUAGACUGCUAAACUUGAGACCGGGAGAGGCUAGAGGUACUCCUGGGGUAGAGGUGAAAUUCUGUAAUCCUAGGGGGACCACCAGUGGCGAAGGCGUCUAGCUAGAACGGGUCUGACGGUGAGGGACGAAGCCCUGGGGCACAAACCGGAUUAGAGACCCGCGUAGUCC